GGCGGUGUAAAGCUCAAUAGUAGAGCAUAUGCUUAGCAUGCACAAGGUCCUGGAUUCAAUCCCCAGUACCUCCA
rnacentral:tRNA from 1 species